GAUGAACGCUAGCGGGAGGCCUAACACAUGCAAGCCGAGCGGUAGAGAUUCUUCGGAAUCUUGAGAGCGGCGUACGGGUGCGGAACACGUGUGCAACCUACCUUUAUCUGGAGGAUAGCCUUUCGAAAGGAAGAUUAAUACUCCAUAAUAUAUUGAUUGGCAUCAAUUGAUAUUGAAAGCUCCGGCGGAUAGAGAUGGGCACGCGCAAGAUUAGUUAGUUGGUGAGGUAACGGCUCACCAAAGACGAUGAUCUUUAGGGGCCUGAGAGGGUGAUCCCCACACUGGUACUGAGACACGGACCAGACUCCUACGGGAGGCAGCAGUGAGGAAUAUUGGUCAAUGGGUGCAAGCCUGAACCAGCCAUCCCGCGUGAAGGACGACUGCCCUAUGGGUUGUAAACUUCUUUUGUAUAGGGAUAAACCUA
rnacentral:rRNA from 1 species